CCCCGGGCGGGCGGCGCCGCGAGGAGGCGGCGGAGCCGUUGGCGGGCGGCGCUGUGAGGAGGCGGCGGAGCCGUUGGCGGGGGGCGCCGCGCCCCUCCCCUGCGCGGCCCCAGGGGCGACAAAACUGACGGAAAGGAGCGGCCGGUGGCUCCGGGAAAUGGUGUUUAUUCAGGGAGCAGGGAGGCCUUGCUUCUCCGUCGGUUCAUAAAUCGGGCUGUCACCGAAAUAAGAAUGAUUUCUCAUGGCCAGCUGCCAGGAUCUCUCCUUAUCGUCCAGUUGACAACUACUCUGACGCUUACUCGGGGCAACCUUCUCCUCGAAUGAGCAUUCAGCACCUUCGAGCUUAACAAAAAUCCUGAGAGCCUGGGAAGAUGAGCCUUCUGUGAGAAUUAAGAAAUCCAGGAGAGCAGACAUGUGUCCCUGGAUGCCACGUUUGCUUCCAACAUGCUACUCGUUUUCCCCGUAGAAGAGACGCCUGCUGCCAUGUCAUUCCCCAUGGAGACGCUUGGCCCGAGUAUUUUAUCCAUUUAUCAAGCCAGAUCAUCAACCAAACCAUCUCACCGCCUGAUCCGUUCUUACGCACCCCCACCACCACCACAGCUAUCAGCCCAAGCCAUGGAAGUGAAAACUGCUCUCUGCCUCCCAGUUUGCAGUAUCUCUGGCACGAUGGGGUACUCAGCUUCCCUGUCUCUACUUUCCCAGUGCAGAUGCCUGUAGGAGAAGAAAGGAGCAUAUCAGGACUUAAAGGUGGUGAAGCAAGUCUGCAGAGAAGUUCCCUAAAUGGGUAUCUAUCAAAACUGGAAAUGGAAAUGGAAGAUCAUUGUCUGCCUCAAAACCUGGCUUCCAUUCAAACAUUUUUAAAGUUGAAAGUCUUCAUCCUUUCAGCUGUUCUGAUGGAGGAACUCUGCACUGAGUCUUACCUGACACUUCAAAAUGUUUAGAUAUAUUAAAGUGACCAUUGUCAAUUCAAUCAUUUGCUGUUUGCAUUUGUGCGUUAACAUCUAAUUUACCAGCGGCUCAGCUUUAUCUCUUACUUUAAGUAUAACCCAACUUUAUAUAUCCCCACUCAAUAACACUUCAUCAAAUGCCUUCACAAUCGCUUUUUUUUUUGCCUUGUGCAAGACAAUGCUGCUGCUUCAUCAUAACCUUUGUCAGAAACUGUUUCCAUUAUUUGUGAAUGCUGCUUUUGUAUUGCUGUGCUUCAGAUGCGGCAUAGUUAAUGAUGUCUUUUGUGAUGGUAUGCAUUUUUGUGCUAAACAGCUUUUUCUUUUAAUGUAUCUUUACAUUUACUGCAGUAUGUGCCAAUUGCUUAUCCAUAUACCGUGUUUAUGCUUUGCCAGAUUGACUCCAGCUUCCUCCCUUCUUCACUGACACAAACACAUUUUUUCACUAGUCCAGCACUUUCCCACUGUUCUUCACGACAUAAUGGUCAGUGCCAACAGUCUUGUUUCUGAUUACAGAUCAUAAAUAAUUCAAUCUCUAAUUAGUCUUAAUGCACUUCUUAAAUGCACAUGGGUUAGUUUUAAAAUGUCACUCUGCAAUGUAAUGGUCAAUUUUUUUAGCUAUGCUCUGCUUUUGUGUAAAGAAAAUGUAUUCCUGAACUUUUUUUGGUUUUGUCAAGCAAUUUGCAGUCUUCAUUAUAUUCUCUCUGGAAUAAUUGGAAGAGCUUCAGUGCAGCUAGAAUUGCUUCGUGUUCUUUCUAUAAUAUACUUGCUCUUUAUCUGAUAGUACUUUAACAUAUCUCAGUAACUUUGGGGAAUUCUGCAGACACCUUCUCCAGAUUCCCUUCCAUGGGGAAUUCUGAUACAUCAUGUUUAUCAUGAUUUUUAAUACCAUACAAUAAAGGUCUGAUACAGAAAAGUAUUUUUCA
ensembl:lncRNA